CGCAGGGGGAGUCGUGCGUGUCAGAUUUAGGCCAGGAAGCGGAAGUCGCCGGCAGCGAGAGUUUAACCUCUGUGGGCGCGGAGGGUUGCGGGGAUUCAGCGCCCGGGACCGUGGAUCUGUGCAGGGAGUCAUAGGCACAGUGGCACAUGCUGGUAGUCCCAGCUACUCGGGAGGCUGAGGCAGGAGAACUGCCAUGCCCAUGAUUUUGAGGCUGCAGCGAGCUAUGAUCGCACCACUGCACUCCAAUGGUCAACAGGACAAGAUCCCACCUCUAGGGAGAAGGAGAAGGAGAAGGAGAAGGAGGAAAAGAAAAGAAAAGAAGAAAGAAGAAACGAGCCAUCCCCACUGAGCCAUGCCCAGAUUCGUGAGCAAUAAAAUAGUUAUUAAUCCACUAA